GUGGGGAAUAUUGGACAAUGGGCGCAAGCCUGAUCCAGCCAUGCCGCGUGAGUGAUGAAGGCCCUAGGGUUGUAAAGCUCUUUCAACGGUGAAGAUAAUGACGGUAACCGUAGAAGAAGCCCCGGCUAACUUCGUGCCAGCAGCCGCGGUAAUACGAAGGGGGCUAGCGUUGUUCGGAAUUACUGGGCGUAAAGCGCACGUAGGCGGAUCGUUAAGUCGGGGGUGAAAUCCCGGGGCUCAACCCCGGAACUGCCUUCGAUACUGGGGGUCUAGAGUUCGAGAGAGGUGAGUGGAACUCGGAGUGUAGAGGUGAAAUUCGUAGAUAUUCGGAAGAACACCAGUGGCGAAGGAGACUCACUGGCCCAAUACUGACGCUGAGGCGCGAAAGCGUGGGGAGCAAACAGGAUUAGAAACCCUGGUAGUCC
rnacentral:rRNA from 1 species